GACGAACGCUGGCGGCGUGCUUAACACAUGCAAGUCGAACGGUAAGGCCCUUCGGGGUACACGAGUGGCGAACGGGUGAGUAACACGUGGGUGAUCUGCCCUGCACUUCGGGAUAAGCCUGGGAAACUGGGGCUAAUACCGGAUAGGAUCACUGCCUGCAUGGGUGGUGGUGGAAAGCUUUUGCGGUGUGGGGUGGGCCCGCGGCCUCUCAGCUUGUUGGUGGGGUGAUGGCCUACCAAGGCGACGACGGGUAGGCGGCGUGAGAGGGGGACCGGCGACACGGGGACUGGGGUACGGCAGAGACUCCUGCGGGGGGCAGUAGUGGGGGAUAUUGCACAAUGGGCGCAAGCCUGAUGCGGCGACGCCGCGGGAGGGAUGACGGCCUUCGGGUUGUAAACCUCUUUCAGCACCGACGAAGCGCAAGUGACGGUAGGUGUAGAGGAAGGACCGGCCACCUACGUGCCGGCCGCUGCCGUAA
rnacentral:rRNA from 1 species